CCUACGGGAGGCAGCAGUGAGGAAUAUUGGUCAAUGGACGAGAGUCUGAACCAGCCAAGUAGCGUGAAGGAUGACUGCCCUAUGGGUUGUAAACUUCUUUUAUAUGGGAAUAAAAUGUUCCACGUGUGGGAUUUUGUAUGUACCAUAUGAAUAAGGAUCGGCUAACUCCGUGCCAGCAGCCGCGGUAAUACGGAGGAUCCGAGCGUUAUCCGGAUUUAUUGGGUUUAAAGGGAGCGUAGGUGGAUUGUUAAGUCAGUUGUGAAAGUUUGCGGCUCAACCGUAAAAUUGCAGUUGAAACUGGCAGUCUUGAGUACAGUAGAGGUGGGCGGAAUUCGGGGUGUAGCGGUGAAAGGCUUAGAUAUCACGAAGAACUCCGAUUGCGAAGGCAGCUCACUGGACUGCAACUGACACUGAGGCUCGAAAGUGUGGGUAUCAAACAGGAUUAGAUACCCGGGUAGUC
rnacentral:rRNA from 1 species